CAACAUCUUUUUUUUUAUGUGGUGCUGAGGAUCAAACCCAGUGCCCUGUGCAUGCCAGGCAAGCGUGCUACCACUUGAGCCACAUCCCCAGCCCCAGCAUACAGACUUUGAAGUCAGAGCCACCUCCACUUCUAGGUUUUGCCAUGUAUUAGCAUGACCUUGUAUGAAUUUCAUAUUAAGAAAACUGGAUGAACUUCAAUUUCCUCUUCCAUAAAAUGUAUUAAAAUUUAAGGUUAUUAUGCAGAUUCCUUAAACUUAUCUAUACCCUGUCUGGCAUGUUCCUAAAUGGAAGGUGGGGGGAUUGAAGUGGGUUACCUUCUUCUCCUCCUUCUCCCUCUACGCACUACACAGGCUUCCGGGAUAUGGUUUCAUAUGCAGCCUGGUCCCGAGCCCCAGAAGCACAGCUGAUUCUUUAUCUAACCAAGGCAUUGAUGCCUUUUUACUCAGUUGAAGGCAUCAAUAUUUGUUCAAUAGCAUAAGUCUUAAAUAAGCAUCCAAAUGACAUAUUACUGUUGAUGGAAGUCAUUUCUGCAAGAAAGAUCAUCCCACAUGAUCAUGUUUCCAUCAUUAUCUGGGCCUCUGUAGUUGGAAAAUCUCUGCAGCUACUUAAAUGAUAACAUUAGUCCUAAUACCAUGUAGAAUGACUAGUUCCUCGGGGUAGGUUUAUUUUUAAUAGCGAAUGUCAGCAGCAAAUAGCUUAGAAGACCCCAGAGGAAAAAGGCACAGCUCACACUCUCACUGAAGCGAUGAUGUGGAUAUAUUUAAUAUCUGUAUUAAAAACCUUUUAAGCACCAUGGUGAUAUUGAACUGGAUAGUUAGACGGGCAAGGGGACCGUCCUGGGCUGUGUAUGAUGGGUAUGACGCUGUGUGCCCUAUAGAAACUCUGAGGCUGUUCAGAGUCAAACUUGGCCUUCAAAAAUCUUCGACAGAAUUUUUUUUUUUUUUUUUUGUACUGGGGAUUGAACUCACAGGCACUUGACCACUGAGCCACUUCCCCAGUAUUAUUUUGUAUUUUGUUUAGAGACAGGGUCUCACUGAGUUGCUUAGUGCCUCACUUUUGCGGAGGCUGGCUUUGAACUCUUGAUCCUCCUGCCUCAGCCUCCUGAGCCCCUGGGAUUACAGGUGUGUGCCACUGUGCCCAGCCCUUUUGACAGACAUUUGACCCCCAAAGUACAAUACUCUGAAACACACAAACUGAAAGAAG
rnacentral:lncRNA from 1 species